UACGGGGGGUGCAAGCGUUGUCCGGAAUCAUUGGGCGUAAAGAGCGUGUAGGCGGCCCGGUAAGUCCGCUGUGAAAGUCGGGGGCUCAACCCUCGAAUGCCGGUGGAUACUGUCGGGCUAGAGUGCGGAAGAGGCGAGUGGAAUUCCUGGUGUAGCGGUGAAAUGCGCAGAUAUCAGGAGGAACACCGAUUGCGAAGGCAGCUCGCUGGGACGUAACUGACGCUGAGACGCGAAAGCGUGGGGAGCAAACAGG
rnacentral:rRNA from 1 species